GGGCGGUUAACUCAGCGGUAGAGUGCCACCUUCACACGGUGGAAGUCACUGGUUCAAACCCAGUACCGCCCACCA
rnacentral:tRNA from 1 species